rnacentral:lncRNA from 1 species
GAGGAGAAAGAGAACUAGAGACAGAGAGAGGCAGACAGGGAAGGGGGGGGGUGAAAGACUUUCUUUUUCUUUCUAGAGGAAUUCUGCCCAGACUCUGCAGCAGUUGGUAGCAGGCAAGCUUUCUCCUGGGUGUCGCCUUGAAAAGUUGCAAAAUUGCUCUUCACCUGUAAGAACAUGCUCUUUAUCUUCCAGUCUCUUCUUGUCAAUUUGGAAAUUGCAGACAGCCCGGCUCAGACUUACCUGUGCAUAUAUUAGAAGUCUUGCCGGUGCCAGGAAUCAACAAAUAGUUGAGUAACGAAGACUAAUUUAAUCAGCUAAUUUGGAGAAACUAAGUCUUACAACUAUUAUUUAGUUCAUCAAAACAUAUAAAUCUCAAUGAGAAUAA